GACGAACGCUGGCGGCGUGCUUAACACAUGCAAGUCGAACGAUGAAGCCCAGCUUGCUGGGUGGAUUAGUGGCGAACGGGUGAGUAACACGUGAGUAACCUGCCCUGGACUCUGGGAUAACCCCGAGAAAUCGGAGCUAAUACCGGAUAGGACCUUUCCUCGCAUGAGGUUUGGUGGAAAGUUUUUCGGUUUGGGAUGGACUCGCGGCCUAUCAGCUUGUUGGUGAGGUAAUGGCUCACCAAGGCGUCGACGGGUAGCCGGCCUGAGAGGGUGACCGGCCACACUGGGACUGAGAGACGGCCCAGACUCCUACGGGAGGCAGCAGUGGGGAAUAUUGCACAAUGGGCGCAAGCCUGAUGCAGCAACGCCGCGUGCGGGAUGACGGCCUUCGGGUUGUAAACCGCUUUUAGUAGGGAAGAAGCCUUCGGGUGACGGUACCUGCAGAAAAAGGACCGGCUAACUACGUGCCAGCCGCCGCCGUAA
rnacentral:rRNA from 1 species